rnacentral:rRNA from 1 species
GUGCCAGCAGCCGCGGUAAUACGAAGGGGGCUAGCGUUGCUCGGAAUCACUGGGCGUAAAGGGCGCGUAGGCGGACUUUUAAGUCGGGGGUGAAAGCCCAGGGCUCAACCCUGGAAUUGCCUUCGAUACUGAGAGUCUUGAGUUCGGAAGAGGUUGGUGGAACUGCGAGUGUAGAGGUGAAAUUCGUAGAUAUUCGCAAGAACACCAGUGGCGAAGGCGGCCAACUGGUCCGAUACUGACGCUGAGGCGCGAAAGCGUGGGGAGCAAACAGGAUUAGAUACCCCGGUAGUCC